ensembl:lncRNA
GCUCUUGCUGUGUGAGCAGAGUAGGAGGACUGCAGUCGGGUACAAAGCGGGAGUGUUUCACUCAGUGUUUAUGUGAUUCACACAGCCGAGGCUGUGGAAGGCUUGACCCUCCAAAGACCUCCCCAGCACAGCGGAAAUGACUUCUGUCUAAGGAACUGACCACAGCGGGAGGCCUCCAGCAGCAGGGGCUACCAGUGCUUCUCACAGCCUGCAGAGUGACUCCUUGACAGGGAUCGUGAGAACCUGAGUGGCAGGGGUCCUUGUGGUCAAGAGGAACUUGACUAAAUGUAAAGAAAUGAGAAAAGGCAGUGUACACAGAGCAUCUGGCAAUUCUGCUCAUGGAAACAAGGACGCUCUUUGAUUUUCUCCUAUUAUACUCCUUGCCACUGAAACAUCCUCUUUUUUUAAAAGAAAUAAUAAUUAUGAAAAAUUAUUACUCAUUGUUUUUAAACAUGCAGAAGUGGUCGACAUGACCUGCCAAAGCUCAAAAGAUGAAAGAAAAUUGAUUCAAGUGACUCUGAACCCGGCAUGGUUGUUGGUGCCAGGUGGGGUAUUUCAGGGACUGCUGAUUUACUGGGAUUUUCCCCAUUCAUUACAACUGAGGUAUGGAGAAGAGCAUCUCUGAAUUGCCAUGGAACAUUGAAGCAGAUGGGCUAAGGAAGCAGAGGAGCACACGUUGUGCCAUGUCGAAACUGAGGCCAAAUUUGGACCAUAAAAGAUUGGAAAACCAAUCUUGUCUGAAAGUGUCAAUUCAAGCUAAAAUUUUCAAUGGUAGGCUCAUAAUUUGGCAUAAACAACAUGAAAUCAGGGAUCCAUUCUUCAUUGUAUCAGUGUUUCAGGCUGCUGGUGGGGUAAUGAUAUCAGGGAUGAUUUUUUCGGCACGCUUUGGGUACUAAUUGUACAUCAUUUAAGCACCACGGGCUACCUAAGCUCUGUUGCUGACUGUAUCCAUCCCUUUAUGACCACAGUGUAACGACAAACAACAAAAUCUCUGAGGAAUGUUGUUGAAUCUGUGUCAUGAAACAUUAAGGUAAUUCUGAAGAUGAAAAAGGGACCAACCCCGUACUACCAAGGUGUACCUAAUGAAUUGGUUAGUGAGUGUAUAUUUUAAUUCAAAUGGUUUGCUCAAGCCC